AUCUAGCCCCGAUAGAAGUGGAAAUCCUUUUGUGCCGGUGAGGCUUUGGGAGGCACAAAAGAUUGAAACGGAUAGCGGGACAAGUG
rnacentral:sRNA from 1 species